AUUGAACGCUGGCGGCAUGCCUUACACAUGCAAGUCGAACGGCAGCACGGGAGCAAUCCUGGUGGCGAGUGGCGAACGGGUGAGUAAUACAUCGGAACGUGCCCAGUAGUGGGGGAUAACCCGGCGAAAGCCGGACUAAUACCGCAUACGACCUACGGGUGAAAGCGGGGGAUCGCAAGACCCCGCGCUAUCGGAGCGGCCGAUGUCAGAUUAGCUUGUUGGUGGGGUAAAAGCCACCAAGGCGACGAUCUGUAGCUGGUCUGAGAGGACGACCAGCCACACUGGGACUGGGACACGGCCCAGACUCCUACGGGAGGCAGCAGUGGGGAAUUUUGGACAAUGGGCGCAAGCCUGAUCCAGCCAUGCCGCGUGCGGGAAGAAGGCCUU
rnacentral:rRNA from 1 species